GUAAACGGCGGCCGUAACUAUAACGGUCCUAAGGUAGCGAAAUUCCUUGUCGGGUAAGUUCCGACCUGCACGAAUGGCGUAAUGAUGGCCAGGCUGUCUCCACCCGAGACUCAGUGAAAUUGAACUCGCUGUGAAGAUGCAGUGUACCCGCGGCAAGACGGAAAGACCCCGUGAACCUUUACUAUAGCUUGACACUGAACAUUGAGCCUUGAUGUGUAGGAUAGGUGGGAGGCUUUGAAGUGUGGACGCCAGUCUGCAUGGAGCCGACCUUGAAAUACCACCCUUUAAUGUUUGAUGUUCUAACGUGGGCCCCUUACCGGGGUUGCGGACAGUGUCUGGUGGGUAGUUUGACUGGGGCGGUCUCCUCCUAAAGAGUAACGGAGGAGCACGAAGGUUGGCUAAUCCUGGUCGGACAUCAGGAGGUUAGUGCAAUGGCAUAAGCCAGCUUGACUGCGAGCGUGACGGCGCGAGCAGGUGCGAAAGCAGGUCAUAGUGAUCCGGUGGUUCUGAAUGGAAGGGCCAUCGCUCAACGGAUAAAAGGUACUCCGGGGAUAACAGGCUGAUACCGCCCAAGAGUUCAUAUCGACGGCGGUGUUUGGCACCUCGAUGUCGGCUCAUCACAUCCUGGGGCUGAAGUAGGUCCCAAGGGUAUGGCUGUUCGCCAUUUAAAGUGGUACGCGAGCUGGGUUUAGAACGUCGUGAGACAGUUCGGUCCCUAUCUGCCGUGGGCGCUGGAGAACUGAGGGGGGCUGCUCCUAGUACGAGAGGACCGGAGUGGACGCAUCACUGGUGUUCGGGUUGUCAUGCCAAUGGCACUGCCCGGUAGCUAAAUGCGGAAGAGAUAAGUGCUGAAAGCAUCUAAGCACGAAACUUGCCCCGAGAUGAGUUCUCCCUGACUCCUUGAGAGUCCUGAAGGAACGUUGAAGACGACGACGUUGAUAGGCCGGGUGUGUAAGCGCAGCGAUGCGUUGAGCUAACCGGUACUAAUGAACCGUGAGGCUUAACCUUACAACGCCGAAG
rnacentral:rRNA from 1 species